rnacentral:lncRNA from 1 species
CAAUAACUCGGGAUUUAAUCCCAUAGAGAUGAUAAAUCUUUGGCCUAUAAAUUCAAUAAAUGAAUAUUACCUCUCGAUGAUCUUGAAUCAGAUCAAUAUCAUGAAUAACAAUAUCUGAACUAUCAAAUCAAUUCGUCGUCGAGAAUUGAAUAGUAUAACAUAGGAAGUUCUUUUAUCCAUAUUGCCCCAAACUUGGAUUGCUGACCUAAUCCAAAAUUCCUUUAUUUAUUUAUUAUUUUUUAUUAUCUGUUCUUUUUUUUCUCUCUAAUAUAUCUAGUUCCUUAUUUUAUUGUACAAUCAUCUGAUGAAGUCUCAUCAAAUAGUUCUUCCACUUCCAGU